AAGGAAGCUUCUACCUUUCUUAGAAAUAUAUUACAGAUACAUCUACUCUGUGACAGUCACGUGAUCUACUAAGAGAAAUUUAUAUUUUAUUGCAGUUGUUUAACUACGUACUUGUUAUUGCAGGCAAUGAUCUCAAGAAGGGGAACUGAUUCUAUGUAUUUGAAGCUAGCAACAAUGUAUGGUAACUCCAAUUACUAUCAACUUCAAGGAUGACACAAAGCCUAGAAUAUCCUGAAUUAUAGUAGUGUUUGAAUUUAUAUGAUGACCAGUACAUUGAAUGAAUGCUCAAAAAUCAAGAUUCUACUAAGUUUUAGUGUAAGCAGUAGUGCUAAACCAGGUUUCUGUUUAGUUGUUCCAAGCAGAUAUAAAAUGUUUGCGUUUAUUCUCUCUUUGCUCUUAGUUUCAUAUAUGUUUUCUAGGAA
rnacentral:lncRNA from 1 species